rnacentral:rRNA from 1 species
UACGGAGGGUGCAAGCGUUAUCCGGAUUCACUGGGUUCAAAGGGUGCGUAGGCGGACAGGUAAGUCAGUGGUGAAAUCUCUGGGCUUAACCCAGAAACUGCCGUUGAUACUAUUUGUCUUGAAUAUCCUGGAGGUAGGCGGAAUAUGUCAUGUAGCGGUGAAAUGCUUAGAUAUGACAUAGAACACCGAUAGCGAGGGCAGCUUACUACAGGAUGAUUGACGCUGAGGCACGAAAGCGUGGGGAGCAAACAGG